AUUGAACGCUGGCGGCAUGCCUUACACAUGCAAGUCGAACAGCAGCACGGGGGCAACCCUGGUGGCGAGUGGCGAACGGGUGAGUAACAUAUCGGAACGUACCCAGAAGUGGGGGAUAACGUAGCGAAAGUUACGCUAAUACCGCAUACGAUCUACGGAUGAAAGUGGGGGACCUUCGGGCCUCAUGCUUUUGGAGCGGCCGAUAUCUGAUUAGCUAGUUGGUGAGGUAAAGGCUCACCAAGGCGACGAUCAGUAGCUGGUCUGAGAGGACGACCAGCCACACUGGGACUGAGAUACGGCCCAGACUCCUACGGGAGGCAGCAGUGGGGAAUAUUGGACAAUGGGGGGCAACCCUGAUCCAGCAAUGCGCGUGAGUGAUGAAGG
rnacentral:rRNA from 1 species